rnacentral:rRNA from 1 species
AACGCGAAGAACCUUACCUGGGCUUGACAUGUUCCUGACAACCGUGGAAACACGGUCUCCCUUCGGGGCAGGAUCACAGGUGGUGCAUGGCUGUCGUCAGCUCGUGUCGUGAGAUGUUGGGUUAAGUCCCGCAACGAGCGCAACCCCCGUCGUAUGUUGCCAGCAUUUAGUUGGGGACUCAUGCGAGACCGCCGGUGACAAACCGGAGGAAGGUGGGGAUGACGUCAAGUCAUCAUGCCCCUUAUGCCCAGGGCUACACACGUGCUACAUUGGCGCGUACAGAGGGCUGCGAUACCGCGAGGUGGAGCGAAUCCCUUAAAGCGCGUCUCGGUUCGGAUUGCAGGCUGAAACUCGCCUGCAUGAAGGCGGAGUUGCUAGUAAUCGCGGAUCAGCAUUGCCGCGGUGAAUACGUUCCCGGGCCUUGUA